CCGUUUAUAAUUUUGAAAAACCUGUUGUCAUGAAGAUGGAGUCUCCUGUCGCCUACGCUGGAGUACAGUGGCGGGCGCAAUCUUGGCUCACUGCAACCUCUGCCUCCCAAGUUAAGCGAUUCUCCUGCCUCAGCCUCCUGAAUAGCUGGGAUUACAGGCGUGCACCACUAUGCCCAUCUAAUUUUUGUAUUCUUAGUAGAGACAGUGUUUCACCAUGUUGGUCAGGCUGGUCUCAAACUCCUGACCUCAUGAUCCGCCCACCUCGGCCUCCCAAAGUGCUGGGAUUACAGGCGUGAGCCACUGCGCCCAGCCUGCAUUUAAAUUCUCAAUAAUUUGUAGCUGCUCAUUUCUGAAUUUUCAAUUAUGAAGUAUUUUGCUAUUUAGAAAUGUUUUAAAUCUGCACAGUUCUAUUCAGCUCUUAACACCUGCAGCCUCCAGUAUUUUCUCAUGUUCAGAUAUGAAGGUAUCUGAGCUGUUUCUCUAUCAGAAGAAUUUAUGUGAUACAUAGAGAAUAUGUUCCAGUGAUGUUUUUUACAGUGAGUUGUAAGAAUAUAAUAGAAUCCUCAGGAAUCUAUUUCAGUGUAUCAUUAUUUAAUGGUUAGUAUAUCAUGAUUUAAUGGUUUUUUUUUUCAUAACCUAAUAACGUACCUAACACAACACUCAAGGUUAGAAAAGAUAUAAUAGGUGAAUAUUAAGGAUAAGAGGAAGUAGACAAGAAAGAGCCCUAUUAAGAUGGGG
rnacentral:lncRNA from 10 species